GGGCGUUUAGCUCAGUGGUAGAGCGCUUCGUUUACACCGAAGAUGUCGGGAGUUCGACCCUCUCAACGCCCACCA
rnacentral:tRNA from 1 species